rnacentral:misc_RNA from 1 species
GGAGGGAUCAUUAACACACUGCGUUCAUUUAGGCAGCGUACCCCACAAAUGGAGAAUGGCCGAUUCGGCUUGAUGGAAUCUCGACCUCUUGAAUUUGACCUUCUGAGCCUGGAGUUGCCUUUAAGGGCGAAGAGUUAGGGUUGAAGGAGAUUGGUUGGUUGGACGUCAAGCUGGAGGAGCAUCCGUGGGAUCUUCUAGCCUAAACAACAAGCAAGGUUCAAGUCUUGUAACCUUAUCAGCUCGUUUCUGCGAGUUUUUGGGGUUACAGAUUUUUUUAGAACACUGUUGAACUUGUACCCUUUUUUUGGAGAAUUGACCGAGAGCCUCUGUGCUAAUCAGGGAAGAGGGACGCCUCGCCUAGAUAUGCGCAUUUUCUCGAUCAAGUGAAUCGAAGUAUAAAUAAAAUGAGAACUUUUAACAACGGAUAUCUUGGUUCUCGCAACGAUGACGAGCGCAGCGAAAUGCGAUACUUAGUGUGAAUUGCAGAAUUCAGUGAAUCAUCGAGACCUUGAACGCAUAUUGCACCUGCAAGCAAUUGCAGGUACGCCUGUUUGAGUAUUGAUAAUAACCAAGCACAACCCAAAAAACUGCGGUGCCUCUUCUGGUGUUUCAGUCAUUUUUGGGAUGUUGGAAUUGGGCUCCCUGGUCGAGAGGCCUGGUUGCUUGAAAUGCAUAAAAUGGUAGUCAGGAAAAAGGGUCCAUCACCUGAAUCGAAAAUAGUGCAGUGACAUUGCCCUUUUGGGUGACAUGAACUCACUUCUAGUAAAUUUGGGGCUCAAUGAUGAGAGAGUUUUUUAGACAGGCCUGCGAGCGAAAGGAUGAGCGUUCACAGCGCUGCUCGACAAACACAAUUUUCUAAACUAAAUUGUACAAACUCAAUCUCAAAUCAGGCGAGAAAACCCGCUGAACUUAAGCAUAUUAAUAAGCGGAGGAGAAGAAACCAACAGGGAUUCCCCCAGUAACUGCGAGUGAAGUGGGAGGAGCUCAAUCUUAAAAUCAGCAGCAGUCCAUGUUGCCGAAUUGUAGUUUUGUGAACAGCUUCACGGGCAGGCUGCCUUGGUAUAAGUCCUCUGGAACGAGGUGCCAAAGAAGGUGAUAGCCCUGUGCAUGACCAAGGUGUACAUGGCCUGCCAACACGUGCUGCUGAUUCAGCGAGUCGGGUUGUUUGGGAGUACAGCCCAAAGUGGGAGGUAAAUUCCUUCUAAAGCUAAAUAAUGGCGAGAGACCGAUAGCGAACAAGUACCGUGAGGGAAAGAUGCAAAGAACUUUGAAAAGAGAGUUAAAAGUGCUUGAAAUUGUUAAAAGUGAAGCGAUUGGAAGCAGUACAUGCUCGCUGUCAACUCAUCCAUCGUCGUAGGAUUGGUGUGGUGUCGAUUGAGUGGCUCUUAGCAGUCAUCACGGUGCUAUUUCCUGGUCCUGCGAUGGUGGAGCAUUUUGGUGGCGAGUGAGUCAGCAUCAAUGAGCUUUGAGCGGGAGAAUGGCUUGGAGGAGGUGACAUGCUGUUGGCUCUCGGGCUUUCAGUGUGUGUUAAACUCUGGGUAGAUACCGUUUGGUUCAUUGAGGCAAUCUGUGAUUGAUAACCAGCGCCUUCUUGGCGGGGUAAGGGUGGAACUGAGUUGUGUCAGAGGUGGGGACAGCUUGCUGUGCUCGUCGACUGGCAUGGUUCAUGGUCUGCCCUCCACCAGCUGGUUAGUGAUGCUGACCGAAUGUUUUCAAUCGUCCCGUCUUGAAACACGGACCAAGGAGUCUAACAUAUGUGCGAGCGAAUGAGUGGCAAACUUACACGCGCAAUGAAAGUGAGAGGUGGGAGUCGCAAGACGCACCAUCGACCAAUUUUGAUAUUUUUGGAUAGAUUUGAGUUGGAGCAUAUAUGUUGGGACCCGAAAGAUUGCGAACUAUGCUUGCAUAGGGUGAAGCCAGGCGAAAGUCUGGUGGAGGCUCGUAGCGAUACUGACGUGACUUUGUUUAUUUGCGUCAAAAAGGGAACGUUCCUUCCCUAGCAUCACAUUUUCUGAGAGAAUGUUGAUGCAACACCGUCAAACUGCGGGGAGUUCAGGCAGUAUCAUCUAACCAAGUGUGGCUUUCAAAAGGAAAAAACAGCGAGUGCCCAGAGAUUUUCUCGGGAUAAAACUCACUGUACCACAUGGCCAAAGUGAGAAACUUUGGGUAGACUGGUAAAAAUGAUGGUACAAAGUGGACAAUCUGCAGCCAAUCCUCUCACAACACACACGAUAAAAUGUGUGUGAGAAGAACUGUUCAGAGACUAAAUGUCGGUGGGCUUGAGAAAGUAACCACUCUCUCUCUCGCUUAAGAUAUAGUCCGGCUCUGAUACUUCAAAAAAGUAACAGAAAACAAGCUGGCAAAUCGUUCGUCAAAUGUGGGUAUAGCGGCGAAAGACUAAUCGAGCAAUCUAGUAGCUGGUUUCCUC